GCGGGUGUAGUUUAGUGGUAAAACCUCAGCCUUCCAAGCGAUGUGUUGUGAGUUCGAUUCUCAUCACCCGCU
rnacentral:tRNA from 1 species